UUAUGUUCACUAUAAUUUGACAUUGUUUUCUUCAUUGAGCUUGAGUUUCAGUGGUAUGGCAUCAUCAUUGGGUCUGUAUAGACCAAUACAAUGGAUCAGCAUGUAUGAAAAUAUGUAUAUGUCUCAAUCUUCAAAUUUUGCUAUACAAUCAUUACUUGAAACCCCUAAAUUACAACAUUUGGUCCAGCCAAUCGUGUUUUUCAGAACUUCAUCAAGGCAAUAAGAAGCUGGACAUUUGAUUUUUGCAUUGUAUGUGAGCAGAGGUUUAUGGUAUAAAUUGUUGCCCUAGGCAUAGUUUGCUUGGGUUGGAUUGUUACCUGGAAGGUGUAAGGCUUUAAUGAUUGAGAAGCCUAUCAGUUUUGUAAGACUGAAUUGGUGAUUGUAAUGAGGAAAUUUGUGGUGAUGACAAUUCUUUGGGUCAUUUGGCUUGAAGGAAACAGCCAUAGCUUCUCUUUGGGGGUCAGUAGCGAAGUAAAACUAAGGAUAUUGGGCCUUUUUAAUUACCCUUGGUGAUUAAACCACUUUGUUUAGCGGUGUUUAUUUUGAAUAUUGUUCUUUCCUUUUGUUUUGAGGUUGUAUAUUAUGAUUUUCUGUCUUCGACGGUUUCUUAGUCCCUCAAUUCUCAUAAUUUUCUUAUUUUGAUUAUUAAUACAAGUCUCAUUUGUUGUU